rnacentral:misc_RNA from 1 species
AUCCUUUUCCACUUCCAUAGUGAAUUGAAUUUUAGGGUUUAUUGAGUUGAGGUGCCUCAGGAAGUCUCGUCCGGGGCUACGGGGACUGUAGCCCCGGGCCUCACGAUGUCGGGGACCUCGGUAAGAUCCAUAUUGCGGCUCUUUUUUUUAAAGGCCCUCUGCAAGGAUCGUAGCCCCGGAACCCCGCCAAAGGGAUUGCCGUUUUGGAAAAUGUCGCGACAAGAUGGUGAUAUCCGACCAUUUUUUUUAGAAACGGGACUAAAAUCGAUAAGCAUAUUAAUAUCCUAAUCUAAUCUUUAUCAUCUUAUCACUGUAGUGGAUGAAUCAACUGAUCAUAAUGAGUUAAUACUAGUCUUGUAUUGUUCUAUGAUACUCGUAUACCAAACCAAAAGCUUGCUAUGUUGGAAAUGGAACUUGAUAACCCAGCUAUAGAUCAAUCCAAUUACUACCACUGUUCAGAUUGUGACCUAAUAAUGCAUAGAAAUGACCGUAAGAAUCAUCUGAAUGGAAGCAGACACAAAUACAUGGUUCGUAGGAGAAACUAUGAAGAAAUUAAGUCCAUUAAUAAGCUUAAGUGCAUCACUUGUAAUACCGAGUUAUCCAAUUUGCAUUUUUAUACUAUUCAUCUGGGCAGCAAAACGCACAAGAGAAAUUCAAAGAAGCGGGAAAAGCAGCAAAAAUGUUUCUCCCAAAAUGAGACACUGGUACCCGACUGUGCCAAUACUGCACUGAAACCAAUUCGUCCAAUGCCGAGAAAAGCACCAGUUCCGGAGAUUACUAGACAGCUGCAAGGAAAUUGUGAAGUAUGUGAUUAUAAGAGCGUGCGAGAGAAAUAUCGCACUAGAAAUACAAAGAAUCCCGAAGGUUAUAAUAAAGCUUAUAUUUCUACAGUGGCUGCUUAUUGGGCAAUCAAUUUGGCUUUAGAUCAUACUGUAAAAACUUUUAAGAUAUGCAUUAACGAUAAAGAAUGGGGAGAUUUUGGAGAUGCUGUAGUGCAAGUUGAGCUUAAAGAAUCCGGCGAACAUCCGGGUUUCAUAACCACAUUUGGCAUUCAGUUCAAAGAUUUAAACAGUAAUAUCAAAAGUAUUGAGACUUUAGGUGAAGGCAGAUUUUCUUUAGCCACAUUUCUAACCCAAGUAAACACAGUGAAGUCACCUAGAGAUUUCACACAUAAAUUCAUUGUUUUUACCACAGCCGAUAUGUCUCCCAAUUUGAACAGACAGAUAAAGUUAAACUCUUGUAUUUUUCACACUUCAAAGUAUGGUUGUAAUUAUUGUAAAGCUGGAGCGGAAUCAACAGACAUGUAUAUAUUUGCAAAAAGUCUGAGCAAUCGGAAGAAAUUAUUUAUAAAUACGACAGAAGACAACGACGACGUUUUAUUUUUUUUUCUCAAUGAUAAAAUUCAUCAACUACCUAAGAUUUACAUCUACAGCCAUCAAAAUAGACAGCCUUUAUUUGGUAGUAAGAUAGAUGACCUCAUAGCCGAAUCUCUAUCAAUCAAUCAAAAGUUCAACAUAUCUAGACAAUUUAUAAAAUUUAUUGAAAACUGGAGUGAUGGUCGCCUAGGUGGUAAUUACAAACUCAAUAAAGAAGACGUGUUAAUUAAACUUGGCCAUUUGUUGCUUUAUAAGUUUAAAAUUGCCCCAGUUGUCAGAAAAGGAGAAGCACCUCUGGAAGCACACAACUAUGCGAUAUGGCAGCAAGCCACUAAUAGUGUAGAUGUGACGGUUUUAAAAAAGCAUCCGGUAAUAGUCUCCAAAGUUUGCGAGCCAAUAAAUGGAAAGAUUGAGUCUCAAUUCAAUUUGAAAAUAGACACCAGUACAAGGACUAUUGCAGUAGAUCAAAUCACAAUUGAAAAUAUAAAAAAUCCAGUACUAAAGAUGUAUUUAUUUGAAGAGACUCUACAGGAAUCAUUGGAUCAUAUACCAUUAAAUGUAGCGUAUGACCUUUUCUGGAAAUCUGGAUUAGUGCCAUUUUUACUGGAGGUAAAAGACUUGCAAGAGCAAGAAUUUGUUCUAACUACAAUUAGCGUACUAAAAUCGCAGGGACUCAGCAGAAAAUAUUUACUGAUGACGCCAGUUCAAGGUAUACAGAACUCCGUAAGGCAUUACAAAUCUCUAAAUUUUUUUUGCAAUGCAAAUGAUUUAGUCAAAAAGAUGCCAUUAAUUUUCUUUGAUUUAACGAAAAUUUAUGUAAUAGAUAAUUUUGGUCUUACAUUGAACGCUAUUCGACAGUCUGAUCCAUUUUUUGCAAAGUGUGUGAGCACUCAUGAGUUUUUUGACAUGUCGCUGGGAAAUUAUAGCUUCAAGGCAUUUCCUAAUACAUUGACCAAAGUUGAUGGUCAUAUUACGGAGUUGGUGUUGAAUGAUGACACUAUAAAAAAUUUGAGGAACAAAAUUGAUGCUAUGGAUGAAAUUAAAGUUGUACUCUUACAGCAACCGAAUGACAAUCAACAACUAUGUUUACGAGUGUCUGAUGGAAUGUGCCUGAACAUUACUCCAUUGUUUAUUUACAAAAAAAAUUCUGUCGUUCCCUGGUUUUGUUGAUAGAUAAUACUUAAACUACAUAAAUUAUGUUAUAAUUACAUGUAUUAUAACGUUUCUGUUAGUUAUGAAAGCACGCUGAUGGUUUUUAAUGAACUUAUACCCUGCAUGUAAACAAAUUGUUCUCUAGGAACACGAGAAAUGUACCUUCUCACCGCUGGCGAGAUGGCAUCUAGCCCACCGAACCAUGCCC